AUUGAACGCUGGCGGCAGGCUUAACACAUGCAAGUCGAGCGAGCGGCGGACGGGUGAGUCAUGUCUGGGAACCUGCCUGAUGGCGGGGGAUAACUACUGGAAACGGUAGCUAAUACCGCAUACCAUCAGAUGUGCCCAGAUGGGAUUAGCUAGUAGGUGGGGUAAUGGGUCACCUAGGCGACGCUCCCUAGCUGGGCUGAGAGGAUGACCAGCAACACUAGAACUGCGACACGGUCCAGAAGCCUACGGGAGGCAGCAGUGGGGAAUAUGGGACAAUGGGCGCAAGCCUGAUGCAGACAUGCCGCGUGUGUGAAGAAGGCCUUCGGGUUGUAAAGCACUGUCAGCGAGGAGGCGUUACUCGCAGAAGAAGCACCGGCUAACUCCGUGCCAGCAGCCGCGGUAAUUC
rnacentral:rRNA from 1 species